AGAGAGGUAAGGAGAGAGGUAGAGAGGGAGGUAGAGAGAGAGAAAUUGACCGACAGACAGACAGGGUCUUGGGCUUUUUGAAGUUGUUUUGUUUUUUGGCCAGUGUCUUUGUGUUAAUAGAUAAAUAUGGGGAUGUUGUGUUGUUCACCAGGAGCAGAAGAGGCAGAUGGAACAGAUGACUGAGUGUCAGCAGGGGACAACAUUUACAGGUGGUGGUCGGCCUCUCCCUCCAGAUUGUGUUGGAGGCGGAGGUUACCCCCUGGGUGUUCCCCAGCUAUCCCACGGUGGUCCCCUCCCAUCUGGGCCCGGUCACCUCUCCCUUCCCCCUGGACAUCCAGGCCACCCAGGCCAACCUGGACCCCCAGGAUCUCUCACCCAAGUGGGCAGGCCGGUAGGCGCCUUCAUGGGUGGUCCUCCAGGCUCCAAGCAGCCCCUCUAUCACCCUUCACAGGGUGGAGAGUUUGUUGGUGCUGGUAGUAUGCCAAUGAGACAACCACAGUUGGCACACGGCAUGAUGGGAAUGGGCGGUCCUGCUGGUCCUCCUAGGCCUGGGAUGCAGCAACAGGUGUCCAGGAUGGGGAUGACAAUCGGGGGGUUGGGGCCCGGGUCAGGGCCUGGGUCGGGGUCUGGUCACCCACAGCAUCUACGACAGGCCCUGCACCAUAGUGGUGGAGGGGCACCACUCCCUCGUAUGAUGUUUACCGCUCAGCAACACCAACAGACUGCAAUGUGGCCUCCUCAGCAGCAGGGGGGGCUAGUGAAUUCCAUGCAGCAUCGCAUGCCCUGCAGCGAUGGCCACAUGGACCCGUUGGCUAAUCACCAGCAGUCGCACGGACACAUAUUUCCUGGAGGGGGUGGAGGCGCCAACGGAAGCUGCAACCCGAACCCCAACACCCAGUUUACCCAGCAGGCAUUGCGGUCGGGAAUGCCCGGAGGCGGGGGUGGUAACAAUUUUGCCCCCCACCAAGGACCUCCAUCGUUACCCUCCAACCAAGGGGUCGGGGUGCCGUCCUUACCCAGGAGACUGAUGCAGAAGCUGGGCGUAUCCACGGCAGGGCAGCCCCUACCCUCCAUGGUCCACCAAGGGCUUCAGCCUGGUAUGAGGCCCAGGGGACCCCUCUCGGCCCUGGCUGGAAUGAAACCCAUUCCCCCUGGUAUGAUCCACCACCCAGGCCACGGUAUGGCCCCACCUAGCUAUCCUGCCUCUGGGGCCGUCGUCGCCAAACACCCACACCAACAUCCCCAUCCCCAUGGGCCUGGGUAUGGACCAGGUCAGGGGAACCCUGGACACAAGCUACCCCCGUAUGAGUACACUCAGCGGGGGCAGAGUAAUGGGGGGAUGGGGGGUAGACCUGGUGGUGGUGGAGGAGGGGAGGUAGACUUUAUUGAUACUCUGGUGGGGUCGAACGAGGACUGGCUCAAUAACCUCACUAUGAUAGACGAGUACCUGGAGCAGAACUCAUAG
rnacentral:lncRNA from 13 species